GAUGUUGAAAAAUCAGCGGAUGAGGUGUGGUUAGGGGUGAAAUGCCAAUCGAACCGGGAGCUAGCUGGUUCUCCCCGAAAUGUGUUGAGGCGCAGCAGUAAUUGUUUAAGUCUGGGGGUAAAGCACUGAUUCGGUGCUGGCUGGGAGACCGGUACCAAAUCGAGUCAAACUCUGAAUACCAGAUGAAUAGAUUGCCAGUGAGACGGUGGGGGAUAAGCUUCAUCGUCAAGAGGGAAACAGCCCAGACCACCAGCUAAGGUCCCCAAAUAACACCUCAGUGAUAAAGGAGGUGGGAAUGCAGAGACAACCAGGAGGUUUGCCUAGAAGCAGCCAUCCUUAAAAGAGUGCGUAAUAGCUCACUGGUCAAGCGUUCCUGCGCCGAAAAUGAACGGGGCUAAGGUGUUUACCGA
rnacentral:rRNA from 1 species